rnacentral:lncRNA from 1 species
UGGAGUCCACAGUUUGGAAACCAAGGGGAUGGGUUAAGGAAAUGGAUGUGACGUCUCUGUAGAACUCCUGAUGCUUCAGUAAGCCCGCAGGGCUUCACCCACCACUCACCUAUGGCGGCGCACGACUGGGUCAGCAAAAAUAGCAGUCAUGAAACAUCCUGUGGUUACUCACAGUUCCUGUGGAGACUUGAGUCAUCAACUCCCGGCAACAAAAAGUUUUUUACACUUGAAAUUUAUCACUUGAUCUCCUGAUGGGAGAAUCUGAGGGAAGAUCGAGGGCAAAGGAACAAGCCUGUAGAUUUCUACCUACACUUCUCCCUGGGGACAACUGAACUUCAAGACACCAGAAGUGACACAUCCUCAGGAUCUUUCAGGACUAUGUCCACAUUUCCUCAGGAAUCCUUUAAGAGGGCAGCUGGCAUCAGCCAGCUCAGUUCCUGUGGUCAGCGAGCUGGUUCGGGAGUCCGUGCGUUGCAGAAUUGUAAUGGUGAGUCGUGCACUAGGUAAGAAGGAAUAGUAAACUCCUGUUGAC